UAGUCUAGCCUGCUCACUGACAAAAGUGUUAAAUAGCCGCGGUAUUUUGACCGUGCAAAGGUAGCAUAAUCAUUAGUUUUUUAAUUGGAAACUUGUAUGAAUGGUUGGACAAAGAAAAGACUGUCUCUUUUAUUAAAAUUGAAAUUAACUUCUAAGUGAAAAGGCUUAGAUUUUCUAGAGGGACGAUAAGACCCUAUAAAGCUUCAUAAGUUAAAUAAAUUAGAUGGAUUUUUAGAAUAAAAGUAAAUUUAGUAAGCUUAUUUAGUUGGGGCGACAAGGGUAUAAAAUUAAAUAACUGCUAUUAAGGUUAGACAAUUAUAUUUGGUUGGAUUGUAAUUGAUCCUCGCUAUGGAUUAAAAGAUUAAGUUACUUUAGGGAUAACAGCGUAAUUUCUUUUAAGAGUUCUUAUCAAAGGAGAAGUUUGCGACCUCGAUGUUGAAUUAAAAUGUCUUUAUAGUGCAGAAGCUAUAAAAGAAGGUCUGUUCGACCUUUAAUUUUU
rnacentral:rRNA from 1 species